UCCGGUCUGUAGUGAUUGACAGGUCCUAUGGAUCAGGCAGCCGAGACUCUGCUCUACUCAUUUAGAUUAAUUCUGAUAUAACUGUUGGUUUAUUUAUCAGUGGAGCAGCAGAAUCUUUUCCACAGACAGUUUUUCUGCCCCUUGGCUUGUUUUAACCAGUAUUCUGCCUUCGGCUGAUUCUACCAGCGGACACUGAAAGGACUCUGAUUGUUCGGUGUCUCAUUUUCACUGAGGAUCUUCUGAGUGAAACCCACUGAAGGAAAACCUCAUCUGGUUGUGAAGAAGUAGACUGAAUGGACGACAUCCUCAGGGAACCACUUCCUGUUUAGCUUUCAGUUACAGAAGGACAGAUCAACUGUUUCAGCUGUUUAUUAUUCUCUUUUCUUAGUAUUCACAGGUUCCAUUUAUCACCUUUAACUUCAUCUCUGCUGUUGUAGCAUAAUGAUAAUACAGAGUACAUGUUGUCAUUAUUUAUAGCAGAUAUGCUGCAUUAAAACAACACAUUGAGGUCAAGAGCUUCAUUAUUUCCUUUACUGCACAUUUAAAAACUACAUUUAACAAUUCUGAACUGUAAAGAUGUUUAAACACAUAUAAUACAUGGAUGAAAUAAAUGUGUUGCUGAGAGUGAAAUAUAAAAACUGAACAGUCACAAGACAAGUUGUAUUCUGAAGAGAGGAGCUGAAUCUGCAGCAUUAUUGUUAUUACUGGAAGGAUGAGGAGGACAUCAGUGCUGCUCUUCCUCACAGUGAUGAAGGAGAAAAGACUCUUCAGACAACCACAGCUGGAUGUUCAUGUUCUCUGGAGCUCUCAGUCCAUCAGACCAGAUGUUCCCAAUGAUCCAGACCAAGGCUGGAAGGAAAAGAAACUAACAGUGAGGAAAGGAUCUGCAAGGUUCUUUCAUUCCAACUGCUGGAACAUUAAAUAUCAGAGUGGACACAGCAGGAUAUGAAUGGAACACAAUAGAGUGUUGUAUUUUUUGUAUGUUUGUUUUCCUGGUUGAGGCCAAAGAACAUUUUACUGCCUUAGAUGGACAAUAAAGUUUAUUUUGUUUUAUUAUAAUGUA